GUGGGGAAUCUUCCGCAAUGGACGAAAGUCUGACGGAGCGACGCCGCGUGAGUGAAGAAGGCCUUCGGGUCGUAAAGCUCUGUCAUCAGGGACGAACGGCCGGUGGAGUGGAAAGCCACCGGAUUGACGGUACCUGAGAAGGAAGCCACGGCUAACUACGUACCAGCAGCCGCGGUAAUACGUAGGUGGCAAGCGUUGUCCGGAAUUAUUGGGCGUAAAGCGCGCGCAGGUGGGAUCUUAAGUCCAUUUUUAAAGUUCGGAGCUCAACUCCGUGAUGGGAUGGAAACUGGGAUUCUUGAGUACCGGAGAGGAAAGCGGAAUUCCCCGUGUAGCGGUGAAAUGCGUAGAUAUGGGGAGGAACACCAGUGGCGAAGGCGGCUUUCUGGACGGUGUCUAACACUGAGGCGCGAAAGCCAGGGGAGCGAACGGGAUUAGAUACCCUUGUAGUCC
rnacentral:rRNA from 1 species